rnacentral:rRNA from 1 species
UGGGGAAUAUUGGACAAUGGGGGCAACCCUGAUCCAGCAAUACCGCGUGUGUGAAGAAGGCCUUAGGGUUGUAAAGCACUUUAGGUGGGGAAGAAGGUGUGCAGUUUAAGAGACAGCACAUUUGACGGUACCCACAGAAUAAGCACCGGCUAACUCUGUGCCAGCAGCCGCGGUAAUACAGAGGGUGCAAGCGUUAAUCGGAGUUACUGGGCGUAAAGGGCGCGUAGGCGGUUAUAUAAGUGAGAUGUGAAAUCCCUGGGCUUAACCUAGGAACUGCAUCUUAUACUGUGUAGCUAGAGUAUUGUAGAGGGUAGUGGAAUUUCCGGUGUAGCGGUGAAAUGCGUAGAGAUCGGAAGGAACACCAGUGGCGAAGGCGGCUACCUGGACAAAUACUGACGCUGAGGCGCGAGAGCGUGGGGAGCAAACAGG